GUCGCUCCUGGUGCUUCCAUGUGACUCAUUCGUUUUCUUUUAUUUCCCAUCUUUUCAUAGCGAUGACAAGCGCAUCUCUGAGCGGUGUGAUUGAUUCUGCGGCAUCCUCAACCACCCAGGGCAGCCCCAGGACCCCCGCAGCGAUGACAAGCGCAUCUCUGAGCGGUGUGAUUGAUUCUGCGGCAUCCUCAACCACCCAGGGCAGCCCCAGGACCCCCGCAGCGAUGACAAGCGCAUCUCUGAGCGGUGUGAUUGAUUCUGCGGCAUCCUCAACCACCCAGGGCAGCCCCAGGACCCCCG